rnacentral:rRNA from 1 species
CCUACGGGUGGCAGCAGUGGGGAAUAUUGGGCAAUGGGCGCAAGCCUGACCCAGCAACGCCGCGUGAAGGAAGAAGGCCCUCGGGUUGUAAACUUCUUUUGUCAGGGACGAAACACAUGACGGUACCUGACGAAUAAGCCACGGCUAACUACGUGCCAGCAGCCGCGGUAAUACGUAGGGGGCAAGCGUUUUCCGGAUUUACUGGGUGUAAAGGGCGUGUAGGCGGGAGGGCAAGUCAGGUGUGAAAUUCCAGGGCUCAACCCUGGAACUGCAUUUGAAACUGUUUUUCUGGAGUGAGGGAGAGGCAGGCGGAAUUCCGUGUGUAGCAGUGAAAUGCGUAGAUAUACGGAGGAACACCAGUGGCGAAGGCGGCCUGCUGGACAUUAACUGACGCUGAGGCGCGAAAGCGUGGGGAGCAAACAGGAUUAGAUACCCCUGUAGUC